AUUGAACGCUGGCGGCAGGCCUAACACAUGCAAGUCGAGCGAGCGACGGACGGUUGCGUAAUGUAUGGGGACUGCCCGAUAGAGGGGGAUAACUGCUGGAAACGGUAGCUAAUACCGCAUACUAUCGGAUAACCCAUAUGGGAUUAGCUAGUAGGUGAGGUAAUGGCGCACCUAGGCGACGAGCCCUAGCUGGUCUGAGAGGAGGAUCAGCCACACGGGGACUGAGACACGGCCCAGACUCCUACGGAGGCAGCAGUGGGGAAUAUUGGACAAUGGGCGCAAGCCUGAUGCAGCCAUGCCGCGUGUAUGAAGAAGGCCUUAGGGUUGUAAAGUACUGUCAGUCGGGAGGCGUUACCGACAGAAGAAGCACCGGCUAACUCCGUGCCAGCAGCCGCGGUAAUUC
rnacentral:rRNA from 1 species